ACAAUAUACAAGGUGCUGCAUGGUUGUCGUCAGCUCGUGCCGUGAGGUGUCGGUUAAGUCCCGCAACGAGCGCAACCCUACUUUUUAGUUGCCAUCAGGUUAAGCUGGGCACUCUAAAGAGACUGCCGUCGAUAAGGCGGAGGAAGGUGGGGACGACGUCAAGUCAUCAUGGCCCUUAUGUCUAGGGCUACACACGUGCUACAAUGGGUUAUACAGAGGGCAGCUAGCUCGCGAGAGUCUGCGAAUCCCUUAAAGUAAUCCUCAGUUCGGAUUGUAGUCUGCAACUCGACUACAUGAAGUUGGAAUCGCUAGUAAUCGCAGGUCAGCAAAACUGCGGUGAAUACGUUCCCGGGCCUU
rnacentral:rRNA from 1 species